UACGUAGGGACCAAGCGUUGUUCGGAUUUACUGGGCGUAAAGGGCGCGUAGGCGGCUUGACAAGUCACUUGUGAAAUCUCUGGGCUUAACCCAGAACGGCCAAGUGAAACUGUCGAGCUAGAGUGUAGAAGGGGCAAUCGGAAUUCUUGGUGUAGCGGUGAAAUGCGUAGAUAUCAAGAGGAACACCUGAGGUGAAGACGGGUUGCUGGUCUAACACUGACGCUGAGGCGCGAAAGCCAGGGGAGCAGACGGG
rnacentral:rRNA from 1 species